AGUGUGUGAAGUUCAUGCAAAGUAGUAUGUAGUAAGCUGGGGUUGUCCACUUGACUGUCCACUCGACAGUCUUACCACAGAAUACCGUCCUGCGUACUUUUGUGAGAAGUUAGACAUUUCUUCCCGAAAUGUAUCGUACAGUUAUUCACGUGUGUAUCACAGCUGUUUGCACACAGUGUUUUGUGGUAGCAUUCAUUAGCACAGUGAAUGGACUCUUAGCCAGUAUAGCUAACGUUAACUCAGCUGUAUACUAUUGGACUAGUUCACGGGUUUCGACGUGAAAACCCUGAAGAGUUAUCUGAAAGCUACAACUGCGAAAUCAAAGCUCUGAGUUCUUUAGAAAGAGGGACAGCGACCACGCCAGUUUGGACGCAUGCUCGCACCCCUGUUCACCCCAGCGGCAGAGCGCGGGACAGACCACGCCAUCUUUGGACACCUGCUUGCCCUUGUUUUGCUGGAGACCGGGAAAGACUGUUGAACUCUGCACAGUGGACUGAACUGUUGCUUAAGACAGAAAGUCAUCUGGCACAGUAAAGUCAUCUGUAAAGGAGACUGAUGGCUAACAAUUGAUGUGCCAAUCCCGUCUAGACAGCCGGUACUUCAUCCAAUUAUGUUGGGAAUACAAACAUGAUCGCAACAACAAUGGCAGGAUUACCAACACCAUAAAGAGGAGAGGAAGAAGUGGAGGAAGACAAGUGAUGAGGAUGAAAUUGACAAAGGAAGGAUAGACGAAGACAAGCCUGGUCUCUGGAAGACAUGAUGGUAUCAAUAGUGAGAGAUGUUGAUUUUAUUUAGAGGGAGGAACAAAAUACCAAUAAAUGUGUCCUCUUGCCAUGGUGCCAUUGAGAGGCCAUAAGUGAUA